rnacentral:lncRNA from 13 species
AUGCAGGAGGGGUACAGGGCGUUGCAGGAGAAUUCAGGGGAUGCGGGGGGCACAGGAGAGGUGCGGGGAGGAUUUGGGGGGUNGCCGCACACCGGGCCGCUCAGCGCAGUUUAUUGUCGCACGGGGCACCCACAGCCGCACACCGGGCCGCUCAGCGCAGUUUAUUGUCGCACGGGGCACCCACAGCCGCACACCGGGCCGCUCAGCGCAGUUUAUUGUCGCACGGGGCACCCACAGCCGCACACCGGGCCGCUCAGCGCAGUUUAUUGUCGCACGGGGCACCCACAGCCGCACACCGGGCCGCUCAGCGCAGUUUAUUGUCGCACGGGGCACCCACAGCCGCACACCGGGCCGCUCAGCGCAGUUUAUUGUCGCACGGGGCACCCACAGCCGCACACCGGGCCGCUCAGCGCAGUUUAUUGUCGCACGGGGCACCCACAGCCGCACACCGGGCCGCUCAGCGCAGUUUAUUGUCGCACGGGGCACCCACAGCCGCACACCGGGCCGCUCAGCGCAGUUUAUUGUCGCACGGGGCACCCACAGCCGCACACCGGGCCGCUCAGCGCAGUUUAUUGUCGCACGGGGCACCCACAGCCGCACACCGGGCCGCUCAGCGCAGUUUAUUGUCGCACGGGGCACCCACAGCCGCACACCGGGCCGCUCAGCGCAGUUUAUUGUCGCACGGGGCACCCACAGCCGCACACCGGGCCGCUCAGCGCAGUUUAUUGUCGCACGGGGCACCCACAGCCGCACACCGGGCCGCUCAGCGCAGUUUAUUGUCGCACGGGCACCCACAGCCGCACACCGGGCCGCUCAGCGCAGUUUAUUGUCGCACGGGCACCCGCAGCCGCCGUCGCCGCGCCCAAGCCCCGCCGCGCCCCGCCCCGAGAGCGGCGCCCAGCAGCGGGCGGGGGGCGGCGGCGGGACGGGGCCGAGGGGGAGCAGCCGAGGGAGCGCGAACCGCACAGGGUGGGAGGACCCCCAGCUUCCACCCCGGCCCCGCGCUGCCCCAGAUCCCCGCAGGCGCCGGGGCAAAGCCCCGCCACGCCGGGGGUCCAUCCCGUGCACCCGCCCGGCCCGGUGAGCGCAGCCCCCGCACGACAGCCCUUCGUAAGGGCUCCGCCGUGGCCCCUCACAGGGGAAGGGAGUUCCCUCCUGCCCGUCAAGCAGCGGGGCUCAUGCUGGCUGCCCCCCAGCCAGCCCCACCGUGGCCCCCCACAGCGGCCCUCGCAGGGAAAGGGGUCCCCUGUUGCCCAUCAAGCACGGGGGCUCAUGCUGGCUGCCCCCCAUAGUGGGCACGGGGAGGGGCUGGAUGGGGGGCACCCUCCCGUGCAGUUUAGCAAACCCCCAAGUCUUAGUGGAAGGAAAGAUUGGGGGGGAUUGUAA